GACGAACGCUGGCGGCGUGCCUAAUACAUGCAAGUAGAACGCUGAAGGAGGAGCUUGCUUCUCUGGAUGAGUUGCGAACGGGUGAGUAACGCGUAGGUAACCUGCCUGGUAGCGGGGGAUAACUAUUGGAAACGAUAGCUAAUACCGCAUAAUAGUAGAUGUUGCAUGACAUUUGCUUAAAAGGUGCAAUUGCAUCACUACCAGAUGGACCUGCGUUGUAUUAGCUAGUUGGUGAGGUAACGGCUCACCAAGGCAACGAUACAUAGCCGACCUGAGAGGGUGAUCGGCCACACUGGGACUGAGACACGGCCCAGACUCCUACGGGAGGCAGCAGUAGGGAAUCUUCGGCAAUGGACGGAAGUCUGACCGAGCAACGCCGCGGGAGUGAAGAAGGUUUUCGGAUCGUAAAGCUCUGUUGUAAGAGAAGAACGAGUGUGAGAGUGGAAAGUUCACACUGUGACGGUAUCUUACCAGAAAGGGACGGCUAACUACGUG
rnacentral:rRNA from 1 species